rnacentral:RNase_P_RNA from 2 species
AGCGGAAGGGAAGCUCAUUGCUGAGGUUACACGCUGGGUGCGUCACAUCCGUGUCGUCACUCUCUAAGUACCUCCGGGAAGGUCUGAGACUUGAGCCAAAAGCCGCCCUCGCAGGGCGUAACCCGAGCAACGGGUCAGUGAGUCCCCAGAAACCCCACUCAGGAGUGGAACAGUCCGUGGAGGGCAUGCAGGAGAAGCGCAAUCUUACGGAACGCAUUUUAGGACAUCAUGCGUCUACUUACGUU